CCUACGGGCGGCUGCAGUGAGGAAUAUUGCGCAAUGGAGGCAACUCUGACGCAGCCAUGCCGCGUGCAGGAAGAAGGCGCUACGCGUUGUAAACUGCUUUUAACCGGGAAGAAACCCCUCUACGUGUGGAGGGUUGACGGUACCGGAGGAAUAAGCACCGGCUAACUUCGUGCCAGCAGCCGCGGUAAUACGAAGGGUGCAAGCGUUAUCCGGAUUCAUUGGGUUUAAAGGGUGCGUAGGCGGGGUGGUAAGUCAGUGGUGAAAUCCUGCAGCUUAACUGUAGAAUUGCCAUUGAUACUGCCAUUCUUGAGUACGCUGGAUGUGGGCGGAAUGUGCCGUGUAGCGGUGAAAUGCUUAGAUAUGGCACAGAACACCGAUAGCGAAGGCAGCUCACAACGGCAAAACUGACGCUGAGGCACGAAAGCGUGGGGAUCGAACAGGAUUAGAUACCCGUGUAGUC
rnacentral:rRNA from 1 species